UACAGGGGGGGCAAGCGUUGUUCGGAAUUACUGGGCGUAAAGGGUUCGUAGGUGGCCACUUAAGUCAGACGUGAAAUCCCUCAGCUUAACUGGGGAACUGCGUCUGAUACUGCGUGGCUUGAGUGCAGGAGAGGAAUGCGGAAUUCCAGGUGUAGCGGUGAAAUGCGUAGAUAUCUGGAGGAACACCGGCGGCGAAGGCGGCAUUCUGGACUGUAACUGACACUGAUGAACGAAAGCCAGGGGAGCAAACGGG
rnacentral:rRNA from 1 species